UCAGAAAUAGUUUAUUUAAAAUAUGAGUUUUGGGGAUUCAAGAUAUUUUUAGUUUUCUGAA
rnacentral:tRNA from 1 species